ensembl:lncRNA
AAAAACCUCAUUUCAGACUCCAUGUUUACUUUUGAAAUGACAAAACACUUAUUACAAGCUCCAUGUAUUUGCUAUAAACCCAAGUAAAAAUAAUAUCUGACACUCAAUAAGCAAAACUGUCUUCCUCCCAGAACAUGGUAAAUUAAAAGUAUCAUGUACUGUAACUUCACAAUGGAAAUGUGAGAGCUAUUUUCAAAAAUUUUGUCUACCUGAAGCUGUUACUCUGCAUACAAUUAAGAACUAGCAAUGGUUGCUGGUUUGUUCCAGUCUACAGCUGAGAGAGGCUUUCCCACUCAAUCUCUUCUUUUAUGCCAUUUCUUGGAUUUGCAGGUCUCUCUUCUGUCUCCCACUCUUCAAACUUUCUGGACCUCUACACUCUACUUGGUAUUUUCUCAAUUGUUUGUGUGUUAAUGCUGCCGAGAGGGAAAAAUUCCUAAAAGAAGGAGAGGCAAUUUGACUGUGCUGUUUUGUGCUUGCACCUGGGUGACUGGUGUCACCUUUGACAUACUAUUGCCACAUUUUAUUAAAGAAAAUAUAUCAGAGUUCUGGAUGAGUCAUUUUCUGCGGAGGAAAGCUGGAUUUAUGGUUUUGAAGAUCCAGCUUUGAACAGGCAGAAGUAUUUUCUUAUUAAUUCAGCCUGAUGAAAGUGAUUGGUGUGCAGAAGCUUAACUAAGGCUGACCAUCCAGCAAGUGGGUAAACAAAAAGCCACAAGCAGUCCUGGAAAAUGGAAACUCUGCCCCUUUAUCUGUUACAAAGCUGCACCAGUCUGCUGAGUGCAAAAAAUGCAUUGUUCAGUAAACCCAGCGAAGACCAUAAGAAGUAUGCUCUGAUCAGCAACACGAACCACAAAGAGUGCCCAGCAGAUCCCCAAAUACUAUGUUUUUCAUCUCAUUUUCAUAUCCUUGACUCAUGCAUCCUGUCUAAGCUAAUGUUAGUUUCCUGACUGCAGUGUGUCUGCAGCCCUGGACUGUCAACAAGUGCUGGAGCUAUCCCGUAAAGAUCACUACUCCUCAAAUUUUUUUUAGUCUUCUAAUGACUCUCUCAAAGCUACCUCAUUACACCAAGUUAAAUCUGGAAUCUCUGGAUUUACACUGGAAUAGCAGAGCACUUUCCCCUCCUGUUUUAUAAACAGAAAUUUUGUUGUGGCAGUCUAGAACAUUCAGCUUUGACUUGAUGUCUUGGAAGAAAAUAAGCUACUACCAUGAGCAGUUGCAAUAAUCAUUCCACAUUACACAAUCACAUCCUUCCCCUUGAAUGAAACAGCCCUAAACAGGAAGAUCUGAUCUGGAAUAGACCCACUACUUUUUGUAAGAUCCUUGUGUCUCCAUUUCCCUGAUAACCUGAACUUCUGUCCAAACUGCUGUUGCGUACGAGACAGCAUAGCACUGACUUUGCAUUUCUUAUUUGCAAAAACUAAUAAAAUUUAAACAAGCUUUUUAGGCUAGACUUCAGCUUUACCCAAUUCCAAAUAGGAGCCCAAGUGGGCAAACUUACACGGAACUACAUGUAUUGCUCUUAUAGUAAUGUCUCCUAUUUAUUUCCAUGGAAAUGACAACAGCUACAAAAAGCACAAGAACGCUAUUUGGUAGAGCAAAUUCUCAGUUACAAAACACUGUUUUUUAACAGUCACCACCAUGAGCUACAGAUAUUCACCAGCCGUGAGCAAUGUACAACGGUAAAUUGUAAGAUGAACAAAAAAAGCCGUGCUGCACUUGUAAACAUUUGCAACAGCAGAGGUGACCCGCUGUUGCUGCUGCCAUGGCUGAAAUGCACCACCUACCACCUCACUAUGCUCACUUCCACUGCAUGGUCUCCAUCAGUGUUCAGCAAGCACUGAUGGAUGUCAAAUGGCACAAUUUUUUUUUCUGCAUGGAAGAAUUCAAUGCCACUCCUUUGCACCCCAUGCACUUCCAAGUCAAAUGUAAUUUUGUCAGACUGUCCCUUUGCUGCCACACUGUCACACAGCAAUAAAGUGUGAUGGAAUAUAGGCAGGAAGGUUCAAACUCUACUGCCAUACCACCAACAUUUGCCUUUGACAUUGUGGGCCAAUUUAAAAUAGGAGACAUUGCUUUUGAAGCAGACCUAGUAUAUGCACCUAAUGUUACAUUCAUGCUCAAAAGUUUCUAGAAAAGACCUCCAGUCCUAUGAACUCUGUUUACAGCACAGGAAAAAAAAAAAAAAAAUUCUGUGCAGCCAUCAGCUUUAAAAACAUGAGUGCAGGUACACAUACACUGUUUGGGCAGUGAGAUACCAGAAGUCUAUAGGAUCCCAAUUCAGAUUUAUUUCCUUAAGUAGAAGGCUAUUCAUCUAAGCAAUUAUUAGCUGAAUAAUAAGGGGAUGGAAGACAGCGUCUCACCUUAAACCGCAACAGCUAAGGAUAAAAUAGUAACAGUGACGGUGGCAGCUGCAUACACUAACAUUUUGCAUAGAAAUUCAUUUAACACGAGGCACAGAUACAGAGUUUUCUUUGUUUUAAAUAAAGAAUGAGGCGAUUAUCCCAAGAUGCAGUCCUCCCAAGAGAAACAAACUGAAAUGACAAAAAACCUGAAUGGUAAAUAUGAGGGCAGGAAGUACUAAAGCAGGAAAGUGGCUUCAAAUAUCAAAGGCUGUAUUUAGCAAGGUAUGAGUCAUACCUUACUACAUCAUAAAACUUCUGUCCUCAUGCUUGUGAAAGGAGGUUAUCACAUUUUCCUUCUUCCAUGAGCUACUUGUGCUGAUCUCAGUGUUUAUCCAACCUACUCAUAAACAGUUAACCUACUGAAAGCAGCUAAUUAGCCAUUCUAAAACAGGCAGAAUGGUUGCACACAGCUCCCAGUUCCACUGCGCUGUUCAGGUUGAAUAAGAUUCAUUUUUCAGCCUAGUGACCUAGUAGUAAUGCUAGAGUACUCGAGGCAUUCUAAACCAGUAUUACCACCAGUGUCAUUGGGAUGGCCACAGUAUGUAGAUGCUACUCCACUCUGUUCUUAAACCUUCCUUUCUCUGUAAAACAGAUUAUCAAAAGAACACUAUUUGAUUUUGAUUGCAAUCUUUCUUAAUAAAAAAGAUUUAAAAGCUACCAGUGGGGCAAUUCAGUUUAAAAUGCAGCUGAGCAAUGAAAAAUGUUGAGUAAUGUAAGUACCACAGCCACUUUUGCUCCAUGAAACUGCUUAGGGUGUGCAACACACUACCAAUUUCUGUUAUUUUCAAACUCUACCAAUGCAAAAUUACAGUGAGAAAAAGAAUUUUGUAGCUUGAAAUCAUGGCUUGAAAUUGCUUGGAGAAGACUAUACCAGAACACAUGCUGCACAUCUGAAUAAUGCAGAUGGAAUGUAAUUGUCCUCUUAUUCUGUGAAAGGAAGGUAUAGCUCACAGCCUGCUUGAUAGUUGAAAGGAAGCUAUCAAAGCUGCAGGAGAAAGAAUUUGUUAUAUUCUUCCCAGUAUUUUUUAAACUUCUCUAUUAUUAAACUGAAGCACUGACUCAUCUUGAUGAUCUGUUAAGAACAUUUGUAAUGAAUGUGCGCAGAGUAAACAAGAAGCCUCUUCUUACCAUCUGUGCAAGCACUGAUCACAAUAGAAGAGCCUCAGACCCAUAAUUUUCAGCGUUGCAAAACUUUUAGAAUGAAACCGUGUUUAGCAGAUCUCCUAGUUACAUAGCAGAAGGUGGUCCCAGCUCCUACUUGGCACAUAUAUAGUUAUAUAUAUAUAUAUAUAUAUACAUAUACAUAUACAAAUGCAUAUAUCUAGAUAUAUAUAUAUAUAUAGUUCUAGAAGAGGUAAGAAACAGCAUUUUUUUUUUUUGAGCUCUGAUUUUUUACAUUUACUGAGAACUAUACCACUAGAUUUUAUAUAGACUGAUUUAAUAUAGAAGUGAAUACAUACAUAUAUCUUAUUGUAUUAGUUUGGUAUGAUAGGUGUGCUACCAAACUGGAUGUGAAACCCACACAAAACAUCUUGCCUAUCAUUUCCUGGAUCUUUAUUUUUGCCUUUGUUGACAGUUGCCUUUAGAAAAAAAAACAACAAAAAAAAACACUGCUGCGCAAUCUUGAUAACUAUUAGCUAAAUCUGCUAAAAUGUCUGCCCUUUGGCUGUAGAAGAUCAUGAAUUAUCCAUUGAAGAAGAAACAGUGAUUAAGACCACCACAGUUUCAGCUGUGGACAUGUUACACUUCCAGUAACACUACAUUUAAUCAAAAGCCUAUAUUUCUUCUUGAAAACUAUUCAUGUUCUGUUGUAGAAAUUUUCAGCAACUGAGUUGCAAUGCUGUUAUAUGGAUAUGUUUCUACAUUAAAUUUGUUCAAAAUAUCUAAAUAGCUGAUGCUAAUCUUUUAGCAGUUAUUUGUAUUACGAGUAGCAUUCAGAGUGCAAUGUAAAAUACACCUAUAAGUGCACUUGUUUACAAAGAUGGAGGAUGGCCACAUUUACCACACUGAAAGUGCUUAUAUAUUUCUGUGGGUGGUUAUUUUUUAUUUAUUGCUGCACACAGCUGAUGUGAUCGCUGUUAGUGAAUCACAUUUAUAAGUUAUUACGGGAUACUGAUGGCAGUAGCAUAUUUAAGACUGAGGAAAGCUUAUUAUUUUGUAUAUUCAAUUGAUACUGUAUGUGUUUAUUUAAGCAGUAAAUGCCCAAACAAGCCUGAAUACAUAAUGCUGUUUUCAACUGCAUAGUCACACUAAUUUUUAUUUUAAGAUUUGUGACUUUCUCCUCCACAGGAAGCAGCAGCCUUAGCAGUCUAAAUUCAAAGACUGCUCUCAUAUCACCUUAUUAAUAAAACUGUCUAUCACAGCUCUGCGCUUACUUUUUGCUACAGAUUUGCUCUUUAUUUUUAUAUAACAAAAGGUUCACACAGUUUUAAUCCAUCACCUGCUGUAUUAAGAAUAAAACUGAGAAAAAAACUAAGAAAAAUUGUGUUCAAGUUAUAACUUAAAACAUUGUAGGGAAAACUAACAUAGGUUGGUUAGAGGCAAUGAAAGUUGUUAGCAUGUGGCAGGAUACACCAAAGACUGACCUGUGGUUGGUGUCUGAUAUAAAUUCUCCAUCAUUCAUCACCAAGUUCAGGAGGACUCCAUACAAAAACAAAGGUCCUCAAAUGACUGUUGGUAAAGCCAUACUGAUAAUCAUCUUCUAGAGGAAGAAAAUAAAACCUGUGUAUUUCAUUCUGUAACAAGUGGGAUUUCCUUGGCAAACACAGUUGGGCAAAAACUUUUUAAAAGGGAAAAACAUGUAUUUGCUGCUAUAUCUAAAUUUCAAUCUAGACAAGGAAAGACUGCACGUUCAAGUGUCUUAGUUAUAUCAUAUACAGAUCUAAAAAUUAUUUUAUUAUACCUAUAAUAUCUGGGUUGAUGUAAGAACACUCUGAAGUGGUGCUUACAAGCUUGAACUGAAUAUCUCACUUCAAGUCCAGUAUUGUAUUGUAUUGACAUAGCAGAGUUUGGAUCCGCAUUGUAUCAUCUCUGCACAUAGAUUUUUUUUAUUUUAUUUUUAUUUUUUUUUAGGUCAGUGAUAUUUUUAUUGGUCCCACACAUCUGGAAACCAGAAAUUCUCACAGCUAAUUUUGUCGUUUCUUGCAUAAUAUACGUUUUAAAGAUAAGAUAGGAAGAUCACAUUGUCAGCUGAUUCAAAGUGUCUCUUUUAGAUAAUCUGAAAGAAGAAUCUAAAUCAGAAAAAGUGUGCCUUCUGCAAGCAACACACCUUAGAUGAUCGUUUUACUUUUUAGCAAAUUUUUUAGCAAAGUAUCUGUUCAUUACAGUAGUUGAAAUUUAAUGUUCUGGAAAGUCUUUAUUUUUCCAUGUAACUUAUAAAUGACAGGGGAAAGAAAUCCAGACUGUUCCAUUUUCUUUUUGUACCUGUUUUACGUAUGUUGUAUUUAUGCAGCAGCCUUCUGCAGCACAGCCCAUCAUGUCACUGAUCAGAUGGCUUCAGCAGCACCAGUUCAACACAUCACAUGGCCGUGGGGGGUUUCUGGUCACCCCCUCUCACUAAGAGGAGCUCCUAUCAUUGGCCUAAUGACUGCAGGCUAUCUAUGUUGCUAGGUUGAGUAGUAGCUGAACAGCUCUCCCAUGCAGACACAUUACAGAAGUAUAAAAUAUCACCACCAUUUAAUGAGACUGGGAAACAAAAUUUGUACAGAAGACAUUUAUGUUAUUUGCAUGGAUCACUAGGCAUAAAGAUGACUGACACCAUAUAACAACUGGGCAUACAAAAGAAUCACUCUAUCAAAGAAGUGACUACAUACUUUUAAAAUCCAAGAGCCACUGAAUAUUAUAUGCAGCAGAUGAAGACUUCUUCAGCUGGACAAAAAUUCCAGACUUCUAAAGGAGGAAAACUGUUACAUUUGAUCUCUCAGGGUAACCACCUCCUGAGACCUAAGUUCUUGCAAUCUUAGCCUUGUUUUCCCAUAAAAACACAUAAAAAGGGGUUUCUAAUAAGAAACCCAUACAGGAGCUCAGGACAUUUCUCUCAUGCAAUCCAUUAAUUACCCAAAGAAAACCAAUCAUUAUAGAUCUAACAUUGACUUUAGCUUGUCUCUUGCUUCAUAGCAUUUAUUAUUGUUUACUGAAGACAUGAUGCAAUCCUGGCAAACCAUCCAAACCAGCACCCACCUAGUUCCAGCAUGUGUUACUGACUGAGACAGACAGCCAUUCUCCAAGUCAUCAGUUGUUAAAGCCAUUGCAAAAAUCACCAUGAGGUGAUUUUUAUUACUCACCACACUCUUGGGAGGGAUUGCUCCUAAACUACCAGUUACCCCACCUUAAAAUAACUUUUCCUUUCAUGUACUUGGAAAUGCUGCAGCAUAACUGAGGUCAGAGAAAGCAAAAUAAACACCAUCUUUGGUCUGCAUAUCAUUUCACUCUCAUGACUUCCUCCUUUGAUGCAGUUUAAACCUGUUGCCUACAGACCACUGAAAGAUCCUAACUUAGGACUAAGAGAAAUGCAAAAGAUAAUCAUGGAGCUCUAUGCUUAUGAGCCACUAAACUAGCCCAGUUCAUAAUAACAAGGACUUUCCCCCUCCCUUCAGAAAGUACUUCAUGGAGAGGAGCAAUAGGAACCAAAGACAGACACUACAGAAUAUUAUUGCUCUAUUUUCUCACCUGUGCAUUGCUCUGACGUUUUCACACAACAGUGCUCUCAGGGAGAGAACAAGAAGCCCAACUCAGCUUCACUGCACUCUAGAACCCCGGGGAGGACAUCUCCCUGUCUACCGGCUGGAGGAAAGAUCUGAAGGAACAUUGAGAUUUAGCACCUGAUUUGUUGUUGUUGUUGUUGUUUAGUUUUUUGCUUUUUAAAUUAACUUUCCCCUUUUCCUCCGGUUUUUCUUUAUUUGCUCUCCUUAAGUGCCAAAAAAGAUGGCUUAUGCUAUUGAUGAUUUGUUCACUGACAUAGCCAUCUCUUUCCCUCCCCAGUAAGGCAGCAGAAUCCCAGCAAUUUUUCUCCUUUCCUAUCAGUUUAUGUAGCUCACCUAACCAUUGUGCUACUCAGACUUCUAAAACAGUUAUAAAAUUAAGGAUAACUUAGGUCACGGCAAGUUACGUUCCAGGAAGCCUUAAUUCAUAAGAGAUUCACUGAAGUUCUAUCACUAACUAAUGGUGACUAUUUAAGCAUACAAAAGCAUCUAUUACCAUUGUUCCUGAAUAAGUUCAUUCCUUUGCUAGGACUUCCAUCUCUGCUACAGAUGCUGAAUUUCUGUAUGGUUCAUGCAACAGAGGUUACUUCCAGUAACACAGGGUAGAGGGGAAAUUGCCAUAGCAGUCUCCUUUUCUUUUCCCGCUAUGGAAACUAUCUAACCUUACAGGAAAUACAUGAUUUAUGAGCCAAAUUCAAUUCAUUAAAAUUUCAUAAACAAAUAGCACAAACAGGAUAUGAACAACACAGGUUGUACUGAAAACCCAAAGGCAAUAAUAUGUAUGUCUCAGUAUUUUACUUCAUGUCCACUUUAGUGCUAGCUUGGUCCCAGAAACUGAUUACCUAUUAUCAUUCAGACACAAAUUAAUGUGCUCUUCUUCGUGGCAUUCCUCACUAUUUUGUGUCCUUGCAAAGGGGUACAAUCCUGAGUUUUCUUUCAAAAACACAUCCCUGGCUCAAGGGCAGACCAGUAGGCUCCAUUGACAUCACAGCCAUUUUAAGAUGAGGCAUAAGAUAAGGAGGAAAGGAGUUAGGGUGCAAAGUCAUGCUGCUUAAAUAACAGCAACCCAGCUUAGACAUCCAAGGAAUCAUAGCCACUGCUGUUGUUACGUAGUUCUUAUGUUUUAUGUUCAAACAACCACAAAGGAAAAACAGAUGCAGGUAUAUUUGGCGGUACACAUUAAAACAUCUCAGCAAACAAAGGCAGGCAAAAAAAAAGAGUUGCCCUUUUAGGAAUACUCUGUUAGAUCUGGCAGCAAGGAGUGGGAGGAGGUCACUGGUAUGCAUUCACUUGUGCCACAGAAGAGAAAGACAAAGCAAAAGCAGAAUAAAUUAACUAAAAAGUUUAUCUUCUAUUUAUCUUAGGUUUUGUAUUAAGGCUAAUGUUUUAAUGGAAAUUGGGUGAUAGUUCUUUCCUGCACUUUCAGCAACUACUGAAUAUUAUUUUGAUCCCACUAACUGCCUUCUGAGGAAGGUACACACCAGGUGCUUGCAAGAGAAGACUUUUCCUGGGCCCUAUUAACAUUUCAACGCUUAAAACAAAACCAUGUCUUUUCUGCAGCCUCUUUGCCAAGUACUUCUGGCACUUUCAUACCUGAGUAUGAGCUAAAGCAAAACUAUUGGCUGCCUUCCAGAUUAAUGAGUUUCCAGUCUCUAAUGAAAAGACAAAACUGUAAGAAGUGCAACACUCUGCUUUUGAGUUGUUUGCAAACACAUCUGCCUGAGAAGCAGCAGCCAUCAGACUACAUUUGACCUUUAUGAGAUCCUGUCUCUCUCCCCUCCCUCCCCUUUUUUCCCCUUUUUGCCACAACUUUUCCUAUUUAAAAAGAGGAGGAUUACCAGGCUAGCAUUAAAAACAAACAAACAACAACAACAACAAAAAAACAGUAAGAACCACUCACAUCUACUUGUCCUUCACUCUACUUGUUUCCUUUUUCUUCAUUUGGUUAUGGUCAUCCACAGAACAGCAGCAGCUGCAGCUCUGCACAGUUCAGCUGUAACUGAUCUAACUGAGGCAUCAGAAUGCUACUAAUGUUCUCACUGCUAAUUCAUACUGCUAUCAUCAGGGCUUCAAAUACAAAAAUGGAUUUUUGUGAUUUUACAGAUGAAUUUGCUCCCAUCUUGGUGUAAUUUUACAAGUGCUUUUUGAGAAAGCAGUCCCCAAGUUCACUGAGGUAAAUCCCAGAGCACCACAUUAGUCACAAGGAAAGAAGAACCAGCAAAGAGAACAAAAAUAUCUAAUACAAUGGGAACCCUCCCUUACAAUACAGUCACAGAAACUCCAAGAUGCUCAAGUUCUAAUAGUGCCAAGAUAUAAACAGCUAUUUAUGAUCACCUUCCUGCACACUGGCAUAAGUCUUUCUAAGCAGUUCUUUGGGAUUGUCACCCUAUGCCUGCAAAACAUAUUAAAACUAUCUUCUCCUAGAAUUGUUUAAUUGGUAUUAAUUACAUUUAAUGCCUGUUACACUCAUCAUUAAGCACAGCUACUACUCAUCCUGUAUCGGUGCUUUCUAAAACAUAACUGCAGACAACAAGAGUACUGCUGGAUCACUCAGGUCUGCUGCCCCCUUGUAUGUUUGCUACAGCACAACAAAUUCAAGGUACAACUGAGCAUCCCAUGAAGUUAAAGAAGUCAGAGUGCCUAUAAGGAAAAUUUCUGCAAGUAUUAGAAGUUCAUCACCAACACUAAUACACAAUCACUUCAGUUUUUAGAGGAGGUUAAAAAUACAUAGGUAGCACUGAGGAAGUACUCUUAGGUUUGUAUUCUGUCUUCUUCCCACUUGUCCUAUCUUGUAUAAUGCCUAACUCUCCUAUGCAAUAAAAUGCCAAAACUUGGCAGUUACUUCUUCACAGAAGUUUCUGGAAAUAGCAGCUGCAAUAACAGAAGCUGUCGAGACUUUCCUUUUACAGGCCUGCAUCAACCCCACUGAACACGACUUGCUGCAUUCUCUAGAUGUACACAUGCCAGCAAGCUCAUUCUGUUGUUUUGAACUAGGAGAAAAGGUAAGCCAACUCUUUUCUCCAUUAAAUUGAUGUAAAGAAGGAAAAACUUAAACUAAACAGCUUUAUUGCCUUAUACUUGUGUGUGCCUGCCUACAAGUUUCAAUGGAUCCUAGGCUGGAAUGCACAUGAUUUUAUCACAAAGAAACUGUAUCUCAGCAGAGGUGAAUAUGAAUAAUACAAAGUCCAGCCAAUAGACAUGGCUGCUGUCUGGGACAGAUAUAGGAACUGGGUAGGAAAACUCCCCUCUUUGCUCCGGAGCAGCAGCAAAAGCCCUACUUUCACCACUGUAGAAGACUUCACCCUCUCCCUCUGCCUAUAUCCACCGCACCCAGCAGCAAUGCCAGCAACAGCCCCACUGAUGAAGACAUUCACUUCAGCAAAGCUGAAUCAGUUCCACUGUCAGGGUAAAUGGACCUGUUUCACACUCAGAAAGCCUACAUCAGUGCUCAGGCUUCCCCAUCCAGACAUGAAAGAGAAGCGCCACAGCUGGUUAAAUAAUUCUGCCCAGAAGAUUAAGCAUGUAACACAGGCUUUUGAAAGAAGUAAGAGUGGCUGUCAUGCUUUUACUUGCCCUGAUAGCCAUGCACUUUAUGAGAGAUGCCAAGUGCUAUUGCAAACAGUCUGUACUUCCAUGACAGUAAGAGCCUCUGCUCUUUUCAUUGCCACAGACCAGCGCUUUUGAUCCAUCAGCAGUGCUUGGCGUUCAUUCCCAAGGGAAAUCCUUUGAAAUGUACCUUCAUCUUGAUCACUGACCUCAAGCUGGUCCAAUACCACAAGCACCAGUGCAAAGAGCUGCAGCUGCUUUGUGCAGAACUUUAUCUGAUUACUAGAUUUCAAAGCAACUAAAUCCAGUCUAAUCCACCACAUAAAUCAGUCAAACUAUUUUUAAUGCAAGUUCUUUCUUUUAAAACAUAACAAGUGGCCUAAAAUUCAGACUAAAAUUUAGCAUAGCUUUUUUUUCUGUCCCAGAACCAGCCUACUACAGUUUAUUGAUCAUUGUAUCAUUGAAGCUUAUAUCAUAUUAAGAAUAUUAUAAUAAAACAUUAAAACCACUUAGGAAAAGCAAACAUAUACAGAUCAAAGAAAAAGUUAUGAAUACAGAUAACCACAAAAGAUGAAAAUAAAACAGCUUAAGCUAUUUAUAAGUAAUUGCCAAUUAUUUAUUUAUUCUGAUACAAAUAUAUCCCAUUAGAACAUCAACAUUUUCUAUUUUGCUUAAAAUAAUCACUAACAAAGAAGUCUGAACAUGAAAAUAAUUCGUUCAUCUACUCAAUUUGACACAGAAGUCACUUUAGAGUAAGCUCUGUCAAUUCUUUUUAAAAAACACAUAAUAUCUGUAACAUACGUAUAUAUAUACUUAUGGAUUGGGAUCUCCAGCUGCCAUGAGACUGAAGAAAUGCUUAUGAACUCAGAAAGCAGGAAUUGUAUUUCAUUCACCCUUUUUGCCAUGGUAAAAAAAGUCAACAUGAUCCAGAUGUUCCAGGUGUUAAAGAAUGCCUACUUGGUAACUACUGUCCAAGACACAAGGUUUAUCUUUAUAGUGCUGAAAUAAUGUAUUUAAUCCAGAGAUAAUACAGCAGCCUUCUUCCAUUACUCUUCAGAGUGGAGAACACGGUUUAACACUUCUUCACAUUUUGGUAAUUUAAAUGAAGUCACAUUAUUUAUCUAAUGGCCAAACAAAUCAGAAAGCAUUAUAGUACAAUGAGGUGGUAUAACUAAGUAGUGAAAUAUUAAAAUGGCAAGUUAGGUUUCCUAUCAAGUGAUAUGAAAUAGUGGGUUUCUUCUGUAUUACACCUAUCAUUAGUAUUACCACAAUUUGUAAUUAUUUUCAGUUCUUUAAGAGAAUGAUUCUGCUGUUCUUUUUAAAGAGGAAGGAAGAAACUGAAUUUUUGAGUGCAUGGGUCAUUGCAACUACCUAGCAUACAUUUAUUUUCCCUCUUAGACCUCUACACUUAUUUUCCUCACCACCACCAUCUCAGAGCUCAUAGAACUCCGAGUUUUGCUGCUGGAAUGUCCAUGAACUUGGAGGAGCCUGGUUUCCUGACAUCAGAAAGCUGUUCUACCAAAGCCACAGUAUGACACCAGUGCAACUUAAAGGAUGUCACAAACUCCUCCAGGGCAGCACUGGCUACAGACAGAGGUUAAAUUUCGUCAUCACCAUGGAUACUCAGGACAAUAUUACAAUAGAGCAUUAGCACUGCUGAUCUCAGGAGCACCAGGUGAAAUGACAGCUAUUCUGGUGUAACAGAAGAGAUAGGAGCAGUAAAUUACUUUUAAAAAUAAAAGCUUGCAUACAAGUUUCCAUCAUUAAAUCGUUGUAGAAUGACACUGUAUAUGUAUUUACAGUACGUCCCUUUUCAUAACCUGUCUUACAGUGAUGCCAGCUGAAAGGAAACACACACACAAGUUUUCCUCAGCUCCCCUAGCCACCGAGCAGCUGUUCCUCUGCAGAAGAGGAGAACAAGGAGAGGGCUCCUCAACGAAAACCAGUUCCAUUACAGGUGGACAUCUCCCUAACUACAGCCCCCAUACUGUGGGCAUGCCCAAGAACACAGAAACCAUGCUCAUGAAAAACACCUAGCGAUAUUAACUCACCAACAGGAAUGGAAAAUGCCUUCAUGUUUUGCCUACACUCAAAUAUACUCUUGCCACUCCAGCUCCAUAUCAAAUACAGAGCAGGCUAGCAAAUUACAGAAGCUGGAGCAGAUCUCGUUAAUAGGUAUUUGACAGAAAGCGCCUCAAUAAUGCACAAAUCUUGUAGGUAAACUUCCUUCUGUUUUGAGUUGAAUGAAUGAGGCCUUGUCCCUUACCUCAGAUGUGGUGAUAGGGUCAACUACCCAAUACCAGUAUCAAAGAAACACAGUAAUAAACAACAGAAGACAAACCAUGUUAGGCCAUGCUGCACAAACUGUAAAUUCAACAACAGCAUAAAACCAACGAUACUUGGAAUGCUAUCAAAUCAACAGAAAAAGUAUUUUUGCAGUGUUCAGACUGCUUCCUCUUGUGCAGGCUUGGAAUAAAACAGUUUAUUCAACUGUGAGAUCCAGAGAGAUUUAGUAAAAACAGCAUGGAAGGAAUGCCAUCACAGGCAUAAAUUAAGAGCCUCAUUGGUAAACAAAGCUACACAGUUCUCAUCCCAUUAGCAGACAAACUUGGUGAUGUUUUCCAGCCUUAAUGAUUCUGUGAUUCUAUGUUUGAGAAGUCUUCUGAACUCUAGUAUAUGGGGCACAAUAAUGGAUGCAAGAGGCCAGGCUGAUGCCAGGCUUGCUGGGAACAUCUGACCUUAAAGAUGCCACCAGCUGAAAAACAGCUGUAUCAUGAAGCAACUCAUGACUCCAGUUAACUGAGUCCUUAUAGAAAAAUAGCACAUGCCUCUUCAUGCACCUGCAAUACGAACCAAAAAAAUUAGCCAGAAAUACUGGCCUUUCAGAGGUACUCAAGUGAACAUGCUUACAAUAGGAAUUUACUUUACGAAGUGUUGUUUGCCAAGUUUGACAAAGUUUGACUGCCAAAUGCUGCAGAUCUAAACAAGCUAUAAUGGUUGCCCACAUCCGACUUACAGCAUUGAAAUUAAUCGUGUGUUGCUGUAAAUCCUGAAAUCUGUGCUACCUCCUUACAGAGGAAUCCAGAUACGUGGCCCAGAACUUAAAAACUUCUGGAUCAGCUCCUAGUGAAACUCCCCUGAGGUGAUCAGGGAGGCUUUAAUCUUUAUCACCCACCAGGCUAGCAAAUUAGCUCUGAGAGGAGCUCUUCUAGGUAGGCAGAUACUGACUGACAUCCAGUUAGGCACAGUAAUACCACCCUGCUGCUUGGCAGUAGGCAGGGCAGUAAGCAACGCAACAUGUGGGCAUCAGGUUUACAAAGUUGAUUGGAGGAUCACCGCCCAACACCAGUUGGGAAGACUGAAAUUCUAAUUAAUCUGUUUAUGCAAGCAAUCUAUUUCCAGCACUAGCAGAUAGUAUUUCAAGAAAAAUUUAAAACAUGACUAGUUUUGUAAGCAGCAUAUUUACUAUACUCAUAUUACCAGUGAUACCUAUGAGUAGCAUGUUUAGAAUGGACUUGAAAACAGAAAACCAGUUCUUUCAGAACCUCCUUAAUAUUUAUAGCUCUAUUGGAGGCAUAGUGUCUACCCUCCACCUGGGGAUAGAUGAGGAGCUGACAGAGAGCUUAUGGGUUAGGGUUAAAAGACGCAGGGGAAGGAGACACUGUAGUGGGAGUCUGCUACAGGCCAACCACCUGGUCUGGAAAACCAAGCAGAUGAGGCCCUCUACAGAUAGAAGCAGCUUCAUGUUCACAAAACAUGGUCCUCAUGGGGGAUUUCAGCCAUCCCAAUACUUGUUGGAGGGACAACACAGCAGAGCACCAGAAAUUGAAGAUGUUCCCGGAAUGCAUUGAUGAUAACUUUCUCUUCCAAGUGGUACAUGAACCCAUGAGAAAAAUGCUAUGCUGGACCUUGUUCUCACUAAUGAGGAGGGACUGGUGAGUAAUGCAAAGCUCAAGGGCAGCUUUGGCUGCAGUGACCACGAAACAGUGUUGUUCAAGAUCCUUACGGCAUCAAAGAGGGUGUGCAGCAAGCUUGCUACUCUGGACUUCAGAAGCACAGACUUCGAACUCUUCAGGGAACUACUUGGCAGGGUGACAUGGGAUAAAGCCCUGGAGGGAAGAGGGACCUAAGAAAGCUGGUCAGUAUUCAAGGACCAUCUCCUCCAAGCCCAGAAGCAUUGCACCCUGAGAAAAAGGCAGGCAGGCAGGCAAGAGUGCCAGGAGGCCUUCAUGAAUCAACUAGGAGUUCCUGGACUUCCUUAAGUAGAAAAAUAAAGUAUAUAGGGAGUGGAAGCAGGAGCAGGUUGCCUGGGAGGACUACAGGGGAGUGGAAGCAGGAGCAGGUUACUUGGGAGGACUACAGAACAGUCGUCUGAGCAGCUAGGGAUCAUGUUAGGAAAGCUAAAACCUAGAUAGAAUGAAAUCUAGCCAGGUACAUAAAGGGGAACAAGAAGAAAUAUUACAGGUUUAAUUAGUGAUUAAAGGUCAGGGAAGAUGUGGGUCCCUCUCUGGGAGGAAACUGAAUACCUGGUCACAAGGGAUAUGGAGAAAGCCAAGGUGCUCAAUGGCUUCUUUGCUUCAGUCUUCGCUGGCAAAGGCUCUAUUCAUGCUGCCCAAGCUGCAGAAAGCAAUGGUAAGAAGCUGCUCACUCUAAGUGAAGAUCAGGUUCAAGACCGUCUAAAGAACCUGAAGGUGCACAAGUCCAUGGGAACUGAUGAGAUCCAUCCACAGGUUCAGAGGGAACUGGCAGAUGAAGUUGCCAAGCCACUAUUUAUCAUAUUUAAAAGGUUGUGGCAGUCUGGUGAAGUUCACACUGAUCGGAAAAGGGGAAACGUAACCCCCAUUUUCAAGAAGGGAAAAAAAAAAGAUCCAAGGAACUACAGGUCAGUCAGUAUCACCUCUGCACCUGGCAAGAUCACAGAGCAGAUCCUCCUGAAGGCCCUACUAAGGCACAUGGAAAAUAAAGAUGAGGUGAUUGAUGAUAACCAGCAUGGCUUCACCAAGGGCAAGUCAUGCCUGACAAAUGUAGUGGCCUCUUAUGAUGGAGUCAUAGUGUCAGUGGAUAAAGGAAGAACAACUGAUGUCAUCUACCUAGAUUUGUGCAAAGCAUUUGACACUGUCUGACACAUCAUCCUGGUCACCAAAUUAGAGAAAAAUCAAUGUGAUGGAUGGAUCACUCACUGCAUAAGGAAUUGGCUGGAUGGUUACACUCAGAAAGUUGCAGUUAACAGCUCAGUGUCCAAUGUGCUGGGAUUGAUGUUAUUUAACAUCCUUGUAGGUGACAUGGACAGUGGGACCAGACUCACGCUCAGCAAGUUUGCAGACAACACCAAGCUGAGUGGUGCAGAUGACAUGCUAGAGGGAAGGAAUACUAUCCAGGGAGAAUCAGAAUCACCAAGGUUGGUAAAGACCUGUAAGAUCAUCCAGUCCAGCCAUCCACCUAUAACCAAUAUUUCCCACUAAACCAUGUCCCUCAGUACAACAUCUAAACAUUUCUUGAACACCUCCAAGGGAUGGAAGGACCUGGACAGGCUGCAGAGGUGGGCCCAUGCCAACCUCAUGAAGUUCAUCAAAGUCAAGUGCAAGGUCCUGCAACUGGGUCAGGGCAAUCCCAAGCACAGAUAGAUGUUGGGCAGAGAAUGGCUUGAGAGCAGCCCUGAGGGGAAGGAUUUGGGGGUGUCAGUUGAUGAAAAAUUCAAUAUGAGCUGGCACAGUGCACUUGCAGCCUAGAAGGUCAACUGUAUCCUGGGUUGCAUCAAGAGAAGCUUGACCAGAAGGUCAAGGAUAGUGAUUCUUCCCCCCUGCUCCUGUGACACCCUACCUGGAGUACUGUGCCCAGUACUCUGGGGCCCUCAACACAAGAACAUGGAGAUGUUGGAGCAGGUCCAGAGGAAGGCCACAAAAAUGAUCAGAGGGCUGGAACACCUCCCCCAUGAGGACAGGCUGAGAGAGCUGGAGCUCUUCAUUCUGGAGAAGAGAAGGCUCUGGGGGGGAACUUUAUAGCAGCCUUCCAGUACCUGAAGGGGCCUACAGAAAAGCUGAGGAGGGACUUUUUACAAGGGCAUGUAGCAAUAAGAUGAGGGGAAAUGGUUUUAAACUGGAAGAGGGUAUAUUCAGACUAGAUAUCAGGAAGAAAUUAUUUCCUGUGAGAGUGGUGAGACACUGGAACAGGUUGCCCAGCAAGGUUGUGGAUUCCCUCUCCCUGGAAGCAUUCAAGGCCAGGCUGGAUGGCUGUGAGCAGCCUGAUCUAGAUGGAGGUGCCUAUAGCAGGGGGCUAGGCUAGAUCAUCUUACAGAUCCCUUCCAACCCAACCCAUUCUAUGAUUCUAUGAUAACAUCUUCAUUAAUUCAGAUAUUAACACCUGAAAACAGCAAUUUUUUGCCUUAAUAUUUCUGCAUCCAAGAUCUGCAUUUGCAGCUAAGAGAUAAUGACAUCUUUAACUGUACAGUAAUAACUAAACAGUUAGUCAGCAGCAGUUGUUUAAUCAAGUUUGUUUUGUUUUUCAACUGAAGUGUUUAAGUGGCAUUGAAGGACACUGGGUGACUACAAUUUUUGAUCACUAAAUAAUACCUGUCUACACUCUAACCGGUUUCCUACUGUAGGAAAAAAUAUUUCUACCAUUCAUUUCACCAUGAAGAAGGCAUGUGAAACAGAGGGAAAGAAUCACAUCCUAAAGUUGCCUCUUUCCCUCCAAUGAUUUUAAAAGGAACCUGAAGUACAGCUAAGGGAAAGGCAUCUACAUCAGGCAAAUCCUAUGCACUGUUCCUGGCAAAGUCUCCAGGAACUAUGUGAUCACUGCACUUAGGUACAAGAAUCACACCAUUAUCAUUUAUGUUUUAAACUUGCGUACAAAAUAUUUUUGUGUUCCAUUUUUAUUUCCCAG